ensembl:snoRNA
UUGCCCACUCGUUGCUGUCCGUGUCACAAGUGGCCAUUUCCGGGGGACAGAGCAACCCUCUCUUCAACCUGGGCCAGGGACUUCAUCCCUGGCUCUGGACCUGUUGAGAGGAACAUAC